AUGCUUGCUUUGGCAGCACGUGUACUAAAAUUGGAAUGAUACAGAGAUAAGCAAGGAUGACAUGCAAAUUCAUGAAGCAUUCCAUUAAAAA
rnacentral:snRNA from 1 species